AGGCGCCUCCCGGGACACCGGGCCCGGGCCCCGGCGGGAACUGCGGCUCAGCUGCCCGGGCUUCGCUGCGCUGAGGCCGCGGCCCCGGGGCACCGGCACCGCGCAGCGCUGGGCCGGGGGCUGCGAGAGGACACCCGGGGCCGGCACCGCGACGGCCCAGGAGGAGCGCGGCUCGGUUACUCCGCGAUGAGGCCGCUGGCGGUGCGAACUGGGAGGUCCGGUCGUAGUGAAGGGAGCAUUGUACGAUGGGGAGACAGUCCAGCAAGUACAGACCGCGAGAUUCCGUCAGUGAGGAGGAUGCUUUCGGCUAUUGCAGAGUAAAAUCUGUCUUCGCAGAUUGCACUUGGGAUGAGAACCGAGAGCAGCUGUCAUACAUGGACACUGAAAUUUUUACCACUUUUUCGUCCAGGGACUUUCAGAGGGAUUUUUGAAUAUAGUAAUAGAGAGGCUCCACAAAGUUACUGCAAUGACAAGAGAGGCUUUCUGUAAUUGAUUAUCAGUGCAGAUUGUACAACAGCACAUCUAAACUGAUGAAAAGUCUGUGAGUCAAGUGUGUGUGGAAAAGUCACUCAUUUUCAGAAGUAACACCCCUUAUCCUACAGACAUCAUUGCUGUCCCUGGUGGACACGAUCUGUUCUGUGUGCAGCUGAAUGACUCAAAGCUGAACUAUUUCCAACAGCCCCAGGAUAUCAAAGAAUCUGAUUUUAUGAAGUUCUUAGAGAAGUAUGGCAGACACUCUUUCAUAGCACCAUCACAAGUCCAGCCAUCAUUCUCUGCUUUUUACCGUGCUGGUGAUCCAAUCCUAAUCUACUUUGAUUCAUCAUCUGUACUGAGCACGCUUAGACAGCCAGUAAAAAUGGGAGCCAGUGGACUUUGUGUUGAUGGAAAUCCUGCUGGCUUCCUGGACAGUAAAAGUACAAGCUGUACUCGGAUUUUUGCCAAUUUGAGCAAGAGCUGCAUGACUGACCCUGCCCUUGACGCUGCCUCUUACUACCGGGAUUUCACUGUGCUGAAGGUCCCAGUUAGUGGCACCAUUGUGCAGUCCAUGAAGGUAAAUGUCACUGCAGUUGCACCACCUGGAGCUCCCCACAUGAGAGACAACACAUGUACCAAUGUGGUUUCUGAGGUGAUCUAUGAGAUAGAAUACAGUGGCACGAGUGGGAUUCAGAGUGUUUCUGUCCAGUUCAAAGUGAGCAACAUCUCUGGGAACCUCGGAUCCUCUCUGCAGCAGCACUUCACUUUGCACUUCUGGACCAAGACCCUCUCUCAUAUGUUGCCCAGAAGUGGAAACCCUGGCUAUAUCACUGGAGCACCAUUGCUGAUUGCAAACAGUGGUGCCAUGCAGCAUAUGAGUAUUUUACGGAGUGAAAGUGAUGGAAGUUGCUCACAGUUCCUCAGACACACGGUACAGUUUGGAAGGAACAUGAGAACAGGCUGCAACCUCAGCCUAUCCCCAUUACUGGAAGAGAGUAACUGUAGUUACAUCCAGCAGAAGUUAUACAAGGCUUUUCAGGGGAUGAACAGAGCAGAGGACCUUGCUAUAACUGGCAGUGCUCAUUCAACCCAGACAGAAGAGUGGACGACCAUUCUGGUUCAGAACUGCAGUGUGCAGGCUGCGAAUUGCACUUCCUGUUGCGUGGUUCCUGUGACCCUGGAGAUACAGAUACUGUGGACUAAAGUGGGCCUCCUGUCCAACCCACAAGCUCAAAUACUGGGUGCACGGUACUUUUACCAGUGUCAACCCCUGAAGUUCCUGAGCGCACACACGGUACCUGUGACAACUGUCGUUACCUUCACUGACAUGACAGACUGGCCAGAACCACCCCGGGGCCAGCCCCAAAGGCACUGGAAACUCCCAUUUGACAUCUUUUUCCCAUUCAAGGUGGCACUGAAUUUAGAAAGCAGUUACAGAGUUGAUCUGGCUGGCUAUUUUUUGUUUAUUCUAAUAAUGUCUAGUAUUCUCUGCUUUUGAAAAUAGAUAAGGCCUGUACUUAAAGUUCAGUAAGUGAAUUGGUACAUUCAGAAUAUGUUCCAGGAAGUUGUUGGAUGAAAGUAUAUUUUUUAACAAAGGAUUUAUUUUUUAUCUUAAAUUCUUCAGAUGAUGGAAAAAUCUGCCCCAUACAAUGCCAAGUACUCCAGUGGAAUCAAUAGGGGGCAAGAAAAUCAGAGCCUACUGUUAAUAAAAUGUAUUUGUUGCUUUUGUACAUAUACUGUGUGUAGCAACUUUGUUGCUCUCCCUCAUUACAAACUUUAAAAAAGGGUGCAAAAAUAAACUGAAAAACUUGUAAUUAGUCAGGGUAUCAAGAGACAUAACACAAAGUAAACAAAACCAAACAUGCAGAUUUUGGGGUAACUUCGCGUAUUUACCUUUGUGAGUGUUUGCAUGGUUUAUUAGCUGGGAAAGGAUUUCAUGCAAGUGUCUGCUGCUUCCAGGGAUUCUGAUUCUGGGGCAGCCCGUGCAGGCUGCGCUGAACACUUUGUGUUCCAGUGUUACAUGGGGCUGCUGGUACCAGUACAGCAACAAGCUUGGAUUUUUAGGUAGACGUGGCUUCUCAGCUGUGCCUUUGCAAAGCUUUUAGUGGAACACAUCUGUAGUGUGUCCUGUGUCCUCUGAUGCCUCUGAUCUGUGGAAUCCAGAAAAUUUACAGGUGACAGUAACUGAAACUUCCCAAAAGUCAAAUUGCCAAGUGUGUCAGGAUAUAGCUUGAAUGAAAAGGAUCUGGCAUCCCUAUUUUCUGCAUUAUUGAGAUAAAUCAGUUAAGUGUGACUACAGAGAUACUGUUUAUCUAUGAGCUGCAAAUACAUAAAGUAAGAAUGCAUCACCUUAUACUGCAAUUCUCUGCCAUACCUCAACCUCCAACAUGUCGUAUUUUCUAGCUCACGUUUGGCUCCUCUGACAUUUUGUCUUUGCAAGAAAUGGAGCUGGAAGGAGCCUUACCCAUAACCUGUUCUAGCCUGAAUUAAGGCCUGUACAAAUUCUAGCCAUGCCAUAGCAAUGGAUGUGCAUUUAGAAUCUGCAGUUUCCUAUGACAGUGUAUUUUAGUGUUUGUCAUGUUUUUUUCCCCACUGCCUGAUCUUAAGUAGCCUCCUUUGCAAUCCAGUAUCAGGCACGGUAUGUCGGUGGCACACACCAGGCAGGCUCGUGUGUCAGAUGCACAGGAUGGAGUGUUUGUACUCCGUGGGAAGGGCUGGGACAGCGCUGUGGAAUGUCCCUGCUGCCAGCACUGUAUCUGGAGCCACCUGUCCAGCGUGUCUUUUUUGGGGCAGUAGGUCUGGUUUUACUCUGUCCGAGUGAAGACGAUCUUUACUAGAUGAUCUUUAAGGUCCCUUUCCAAGCCUGACCAUCGAUUCUUGGAAGAUGCAAUUUUGGGUUUCAAAGGAGGAGCAGCUACAGAGCCCGCGGGCGGGGCCGGAAGCGACGUGAGGCGGCGGCGGCUGAGGCUGAGGGGAGCCGGGCCGAGUAACACCGAGCCGGGCUGGGGAGAACCGGGCGGUGAGUAGAGCCGAGCAGAGCCGGGCGGGGCCGGGCCGAGCAGCCUCGGUGCUGCCCGUUCCCCUCCCGCGCGGGGCCCGUUCCCGGCCGAGGGAUGCGAGGAGAGGAGGAGGGUCUCAGCCUUGGCGCUGCCGGGCGGCACCUUCACCCCCGCUCUCCCGGACCCCGCAGGCUCCCCGGAGCCGCUCAGACUCGCGGUCCCGGUCUGGCGGCGGUCCCGGGGCGGUGCUGCCGCGAGGAGUGACCGGGAAAUCGCGGUUCGGUCCCCUGCGAGCACCAGACGAGCUGGUUGGAGCUGCACGGGCCUCCACCCCCUGGGGCCCUGUGAGAGCAGAGCUGCUGUUCUGGAGGUUUUCUUGCUGGUGGUCUCUUGUGGGUACUUACAAGAUUUCUCCAUGCCCAAAGAAAACAUUUAAAUUCACCUGACGCUUGCCUGACACCUCAGAGUCACUACCUAGGUUUUGACCUGACUUGGUGAUAAGCCUGUGUUCUUCACAUAGUGUUUCUUCACAGUAGACAGAACAGGAUCAGAUUAGAAGUUUUUUUAAGUAACCUGACAGCCCUCUGAAAAAAGUAAUAAAACUGUAGAUAAAGGAGACUUAAUGAGCAAAGCUUACAAGGUUUACCAAAAGCCUUUGGCAACUCUGUACUGUGAAGUCAGGAAGAGUUUUAUUUUCUUAAAUGAAUAAUAUCUCAAAUAUUUCCAUAAAUGCUUAUGCCUGAGCUGACUCUCUACUCUAAAAUUGACAGAUACUUGAAAGUGUUUAUUUUCUUUGUCUUCCCAGAUUUGCUCGAGGACACUGAGAGAAGCAAUUACAAAGGGUUAAAAUAAAGUUUUCUUCUUCCCUGUUCUCUAGUAAAGUAUUUAUGUUUAGUGACUUCAGAAGCAUCCAGGGAAAAAACCACCUGAGGAUCACUGUGCGUGAUACUCUGAAAAGUCAGCUGAAGAUGUAGUGAAAGUCAAAAAGCAAAUAGAAUGGUAGAAAUUAUCACUUAAGGAAUGAAUGCAGAAUAAAAAAAUAUAUUAUGCCACUAUAUAAA